rnacentral:misc_RNA from 1 species
UGGUGAUCGAUGAUUCGUUGGGUGGGUGGGGGACUGGCUGACUGUGUAUUGUGGUUUGGAUGGCAGGUUUAGCGUCAGUAAUAGCUAGGAUUAGGGUUCAGGCGAUGCUAAAAUUUUGGGGUGCCAAUUGCAGAAUCACUGGAUUGAUUCAUAUUUUAGCGUCAGUAAUAGCUAGGCCAAGGGCGGCAGAUCUAAGGCUGGCCAUGCCCUCAUCCAUCAAGGGGGAGGCGGGUGGGCUAGUGGGGAGCAGAGGAGCUCCCGUGCAGGUGGCAACAAUGCUCAGGAAGGGAGGAAUGUUGGCUACUGUGGCGCCUGCGGCCGAUAGGGAGGGCGGCGGCCCUGUGCAGGCCGCGACGACUAGAGAGAAUUUGGGCGAUGUGGCAGCUUCAGCCAGCAAGUGGCGAGAAAGAGGCAAGGAGGGGAAAAGGACGAGGGUGGAGGCGCGCUGGCCAUGGCGCCAAUGCUGUCGGCUGGGAGGCCUGCUGGCGCCGGCGGCCUGCAAGCCUGGAGGCGGCGGCGAUGCUAGGG